rnacentral:lncRNA from 1 species
AGAAGCUGAAAGUCUGGAAACCUAAGGACGAAGCAGUGUGGUUCAGUGGUAUGGCUCUGGGCUGAGACUCAGGAGACCUGGACUUUAGACCAACUCAGCAUUUACGACUUUACAUCUGUCAGUCUAGCUCUCUCCUCUGCAGAAUAAAAGAACAAAUCUCUGUGGGGUUCAUGCUCUUCAGAGUAGGAGUGAGGGGUUGUACAGCAUGAUACCAAAGACCACAGUUCAGUCUGAUGAAUCUUCCUGGAACAUCAAUUUUACCUGGUGGCAAACACUUUUCCUCAAGGCUCAGUUCACCUACUGCCCAUGUCCAUGAAGACCCGAGAAGACAGAACAGGGAAGAGAGAGGUGGCCGUCCAAAUGCUCACUAAUAAAUGUAGCUUCAAAAUAAAGAAAGUUUAGAUCUGCGGAAGCCAAGCCAGUGACCAAGCCUGAAAAUCAUCUGAAUUGCAAAUUCAAGCCCGGUUCCAGCGACACCCACCCUGCUCCACCUGUCAGUGGGACCAACCUAGGUGGACCUGAGACUGAUGUCUUUUCUAGCCUUGCAGAGGUGGUUUCUAGACAGCAAGAAGUGUAAAGAGAGAUUGGGCUUGGGAGUUAGACCAACUUUGGCCAAAUACUAAAUCCACCUUUUGAAAUGCAUCACACCUCUGGGAAUUUAAAUAUGAACACUGAAAAAUGAGAUAACAAUUUAAAUAGUGCACAGGAUUCUGCCAUCAUUUCAUUAAGUGAGCACAUGUACCCCGGGGAGUGUGGGAUGAUACACAAGAACCUGUUGCUUAUGAAGAACCACAAACACCACACCAACAAAUUAAAGGAUUUCUAAGAUAAUAUUGAGUAUAAACGAUGCUUGCCUUACUCAUUGACUUUGAAAUCCUAACCCCUGGGUAAAAUGGUACUCUACUAUAUUAGUUACAUGACUUGGAGAAAGUCUCUCAACCUUUCUCAGCCCCAAUUUAUCCAUUCUUGAAUACUUUUUAAAGUGUGACAGAUUGUAUUUUCCCAAGAUGGUCACAACAUCUCCCAUACUCCAUAAGCUCUCUUCCCAUCAAGAGUGAGAUCUAUGUCCUUGCCUAGAAUAUGGGUGAGCCUGUGAUUUGCUUAUAACCAAUACAGUACAGUGAAAGGAAUGAGAUGUGACCUCAGAGAUAGGUUGCAAAAGGUGACUCAACUUCCAUAUUUUUUGGGUAGUGACGGACACUUGCAUUUGGAGGGCUGAGCCUCUAUGUAAAUAUUAUGGUCAUCCUGAGGCCACCAUGCUAUUAGGAAGUCCAGGCAAUAAAGAGAGACUACACGUAGGUGCUUCCAGACAGAUAGCACAAACUGCCAGACGUGACUAAAGAUGCUUCCAGACAAUUCCAGUCCACAGCUGUUGAGCCCCUAACCUUUGCAACUUCCAACUAAGGCCCUAGACAUUAUGAAGCUGAGACAAAUGUUCUUUUUGUAAUCUUUUUGAAUACCCAACCCACAGAAUCCAUGCUCAUAAUGAAAUUGUUGCUUUA